UUUGAUCAUUUUGCACACUGGUGGAGCCAAGUAUCAGGUGAUACAGGCACCACUCAGUAUCACCCUGUUGACUAUUAUUAUCAUUGUCAUUAUUAUUAUUA